CGCCAAGUCCACCUCUAUAACACGUACUCGUCGUUCCAAUCUAACCAUUGUAAUGAUUCCCUGCUCUAAUUAGACGUUAAAAAUAGAUAAGUGCCAAUCUGUCCACAGAAGCUCCAGUUCAUCGCCGGAUUCCGACGCCGAAGCCGUGCGAAACUCGUUGUCUUUACGCGAGCACCCGGAGCACUGGGCUUCGUCACCUCGUUCCGUCUAUGUUCAUCGUUGCCGACCAUCUCCGACUCUACCACCGGACGAGCCAAACUCCUCUACAACCCGUAGACUCCUCCACCGCCACCCCCACCGGACCAGAGCCGCCCCAACACCUCGUUCUUCUCUAUUGUCCGGAGUGCCAAGAGUAGAAUUGUCAGGACUUUGAGUGCGGAGUACUUCAUCAAAUUUAACAG